rnacentral:rRNA from 1 species
UACAGAGGUUGCAAGCGUUGUUCGGAUUUAUUGGGCGUAAAGGGUCCGUAGGCGGUUUGGAAAGUCUGAUGUGAAAUCCUACAGCUUAACUGUAGAACUGCAUUGGAAACUUCUAGACUAGAGUAUGAGAGGGGUUAAGGGAAUUCCCGGUGUAAGGGUGAAAUCUGCAGAGAUCGGGAGGAACACCUGUCGCGAAGGCGGCUUUCUGGUCUGUAACUGACGCUGAGGCGCGAAAGCGUGGGGAGCAAACAGG